rnacentral:pre_miRNA from 1 species
UGAAAGACACAGGUAGUGGGACAGAUAUUAUCUAAUAAAAGCUUGUCCUUCUAAUGUGUUUUUCGAA